AAAUGAUAGAAUGAUUUUUGUUUAUUUUUAAGGUAAAUUAUUUAAUAUUAUAGUAAUUUAAGUUUAUGUUUUAAUUAGUAAUGUUGAAGAAGUUGAAGUUGAAUGGUUUUAUGAAGAUUUAUAAGAUUUUUUAGAAUUAAUAUUUAAAAAAGAUGUUUUUUUUAUUAUAGGGGAUUGGAAUGUAAAAGUAGGAAGUUAAGAAAUAUUUGGAGUAAUAGGUAAAUUUGGUUUUGGAAUAUGGAAUGAAGUAGGGUAAAGGUUAAUAGAGUUUUGUUAAGAGAAUGUAUUGGUUAUAGUAAAUAUUUUUUUUUAAUAAUAUAAGAGAAGAUUUUAUAUAUGGAUAUUAUUAGAUGGUUAAUAUCGAAAUUAGAUUGAUUAUAUUUUUUGUAGUUAAAGAUGGAGAAGUUUUAUAUAGUUAGUAAAAAUAAGAUUAGGAGUUGAUUGUGGUUUAGAUUAUGAAUUUUUUAUUGUUAAAUUUAGAUUUAAAUUGAAGAAAGUAGGGAAAAUUAUUAGAUUAUUUAGGUAUGAUUUAAAUUAAAUUUUUUAUGAUUAUAUAGUGGAAGUGAGAAAUAGAUUUAAGGGAUUAGAUUUGAUAGAUAGAGUGUUUGAUGAAUUAUGGAAUGAGGUUCGUGAUAUUGUAUAGGAGAUAGGGAUUAAGAUUAUUUUUAUGGAAAAGAAAUGUAAAAAAGUAAAAUGGUUGUUUGGGGAGGUUUUAUAAAUAGUUGUGAAAAGAAGAGAAGUGAAAAGUAAAGGAGAAAAGGAAAGAUAUAAGUAUUUGAAUGUAGAGUUUUAAAGAAUAGUAAGAAGAGAUAAGAAAGUUUUUUUUAGCGAUUAAUGUAAAGAAAUAGAGGAAAAUAAUAGAAUGGGAAAGAUUAGAGAUUUUUUUAAGAAAAUUAGAGAUAUUAAGGGAAUAUUUUAUGUAAAGAUGGGUUCGAUAAAGGAUAGAAAUGGUAUGGAUUUAAUAGAAGUAGAAGAUAUUAAGAAGAGGUGGUAAGAAUAUAUAGAAGAAUUGUAUAAAAAAGAUUUUUACGAUUUAGAUAAUUAUGAUGGUGUGAUUAUUUAUUUAGAGUUAGAUAUUUUGGAAUGUGAAGUUAAGUGGGUUUUAGAAAGUAUUAUUAUGAAUAAAGUUAGUGGAGGUGAUGGAAUUUUAGUUGAGUUAUUUUAAAUUUUGAAAGAUGAUGUUGUGAAAGUGUUGUAUUUAAUAUGUUAGUAAAUUUGGAAAAUUUAGUAGUGGUUAUAGGAUUGGAAAAGGUUAGUUUUUAUUUUAAUUUUAAAGAAAGGUAAUGUUAAAGAAUGUUUAAAUUAUCGUAUAAUUGUAUUUAUUUUAUAUGUUAGUAAAGUAAUGUUUAAAAUUUUUUAAGUUAGGUUUUAGUAAUAUAUGAAUCGUGAAUUUUUAGAUGUUUAAGUUGGAUUUAGAAAAGGUAGAGGAAUUAGA
rnacentral:misc_RNA from 1 species